rfam:Aedes aegypti strain Liverpool supercont1.773 genomic scaffold, whole genome shotgun sequence.
CCUCUCAUGGCGUAGUGGUUAACGCGCCCCAACUAAAGAUCGGGGAGUCGUGAGUUCGAUUCUCACUGAGAAGA